AUUGAACGCUGGCGGAAUGCUUUACACAUGCAAGUCGAACGGCAGCACGGGGGCAACCCUGGUGGCGAGUGGCGAACGGGUGAGUAAUACAUCGGAACGUGCCCGGUCGUGGGGGAUAACGUAGCGAAAGUUACGCUAAUACCGCAUACGAUCUGAGGAUGAAAGCGGGGGACCUUCGGGCCUCGCGCGAUCGGAGCGGCCGAUGUCAGAUUAGGUAGUUGGUGGGGUAAAGGCCUACCAAGCCGACGAUCUGUAGCUGGUCUGAGAGGACGACCAGCCACACUGGGACUGAGACACGGCCCAGACUCCUACGGGAGGCAGCAGUGGGGAAUUUUGGACAAUGGGCGCAAGCCUGAUCCAGCCAUUCCGCGUGCAGGACGAAGGCCUUCGGGUUGUAAAAUGCUUUUGUAUGGAACGAAAAGGCUCUGGCUAAUACCUGGGGCUCAUGACGGUACCGUAAGAAUAAGCACCGGCUAACUACGUG
rnacentral:rRNA from 1 species